rnacentral:rRNA from 1 species
UAGAGUUUGAUCAUGGCUCAGGAUGAACGCUAGCGACAGGCUUAACACAUGCAAGUCGAGGGGCAGCGGGGGUGAUGGCUUGCCAUCACCUGCCGGCGACCGGCGCACGGGUGAGUAACACGUAUGCAACCUGCCCGCCACAGGGGGAUAAGCGGAAGAAAUUCCGUCUAAUACCGCGUGACGCGGCACCGGGGCAUCCCGGUGCCGCCAAAGGGAUUACCGGUGGCGGAUGGGCAUGCGGCGCAUUAGCUAGUCGGCGGGGUAACGGCCCACCGAGGCGACGAUGCGUAGGGGUUCUGAGAGGAAGGUCCCCCACACUGGUACUGAGACACGGUCCAAACUCCUACGGGAGGCAGCAGUGAGGAAUAUUGGUCAAUGGCCGGAAGGCUGAACCAGCCAAGUCGCGUGAGGGAAUAAGGCCCUACGGGUCGUAAACCUCUUUUGCCAGGGAGCAAUGCCGUCCACGUGUGGACGGAAGGAGAGUACCUGGAGAAAAAGCAUCGGCUAACUCCGUGCCAGCAGCCGCGGUAAUACGGAGGAUGCGAGCGUUAUCCGGAUUUAUUGGGUUUAAAGGGUGCGUAGGCGGCCUGCCAAGUCAGCGGUAAAAUUGCGGGGCUCAACCCCGUACAGCCGUUGAAACUGCCGGGCUCGAGUGGGCGAGAAGUAUGCGGAAUGCGUGGUGUAGCGGUGAAAUGCAUAGAUAUCACGCAGAACCCCGAUUGCGAAGGCAGCAUACCGGCGCCCGACUGACGCUGAGGCACGAAAGUGCGGGGAUCAAACAGGAUUAGAUACCCUGGUAGUCCGCACAGUAAACGAUGAAUGCUAGCUGUCCGGGGGGAUUGACCCCUGGGUGGCACAGCGAAAGCGUUAAGCAUUCCACCU